rnacentral:tRNA from 1 species
CACUGUUUAAUAUAAUAAAAAAUUUAGUACUUUUUGGUCCUUUCGUACUAAAAAAGACAAUAACAUUUUUAAAAGAUAGAAACCAACCUGGCUCACGCCGGUCUGAACUCAGAUCAUGUAAAAUUUUAAAAAUCGAACAGAUUUACCUAUUAAAGCUUCUACACCUUAAGGUUAUUUUAAUCCAACAUCGAGGUCGCAAACUCACUUUUCAAUAAGAACUCUUUAAGUAAAUUACGCUGUUAUCCCUGUGGUAACUAUAACACAAGCAAUACAAAUAAUUGGUUACUUUAUAUGUAUAAAUAUAUGCUAAGGAAGUUAUUAUUUAAUAAUUAUUCCUUAAUCACCCCAAUUAAAAUUAAUAAAUAAUUAACAAAUAUUAAUAACAAAAAUUUAAGCUCAACAGGGUCUUCUCGUCCCUUUAAAAAAUCCAAGCUUUUUCACUAUAAAAAUUAAUUUCUAAUAAAUAAAUAGAGACAGCAUAAACUUCGUCAAACCAUUCAUUCUAGCCUCAAUUUAUAAGGCAAACUAUUAUGCUACCUUAGUACAGUUAAAAUACCGCAGCUGUUAAAAUACAUCACCGAGCAGGCCCAACUCUUUAUUUAUAAAAUACAAAGAGACAUGUUUUUGAUAAACAGGCGAGAUUAAUAUUUGCCGAAUUCCUUUAUAUUAUUUAAUUACAAUAAGUUUACAUUAAAUAUCUACAAUUAAAUAUUAUUAAACCUAUAACACUUAAACAUUAAAUACUCAUAUUAACAUUAUAUUUACUUAAACCUAAUUUAUAAACAUUUAUAGUUAAUUAAUUACACAACUUGAAAUCCCCUUAAUAUUUUUAUUAAACUAUAUUUUUAAAGAGAAAUACUAUUAAUUCUACUUAAAUAAUAUAAUUAUAAAUAUACAUAUUCUAUAUUAUAUAUGAAGCUUACCCCCAUAUAAUAAACUAAUAUUAAAUAAACCAUUAUAUUAUAUUAAUAUUAUAAUACUAAAUAUUAUAAACUAAUAAACUAGUUAUCAUAAAAGCCGAUUAACAUAUCACUACCACUUAAUAUUAAAUAUAUAACUAUACAACGUUAACACAUUUUUUAUUAAAUAAAUCCUUUUAUUUCGAGAUUAUAUUAUAAAUUUAAAUAUAUCAUUAACCCAUUAUACAAAAGGUACGAACUAAAAAUUCUACUAAAAAUAAAAUACUAUAUUCCUUUACAGUACUCCUCAAACAAUGGAUCUAUACCCUUUAUACACAUAAACAAACAAUUUAGAUUGAUCAAUUAUUAUAUUAUCUCAAUAAUAUAUCUUUAAACUAAUUAACACUAUACCCCAGAAACAGUUUCCACUACUCCUACUAUGUUACGACUUAUCUUACUUUCCAGCAAGAGCGACGGGCGAUAUGUACGCAUCACAAAACCAAAUUCAUAACAGCUCCCUAUUCUAUUAUUACUACCAAGUCCACCUUCAUAAAACAAUUACACAUUUUAUUCCAUAUUUAAUUAAUUAUAAAUUGUAGUUCACUUAACCUUUUUCAUAAGCUGCAUUUUGACUUGACAUUACAACUAUUAUUAUUAUGUUUUUAUUUUUACAAAAUAAACUGAUGACAGCAAUACACAAACUGUUUACAUUCAAAAAAAAGUAAGUGUAAAUUGAGGAUUAUCAAAUCAAUAAGCAAACUCCCCUGAGAGGAUAUGUAACACCGCCAAGUCUUUUAAAUUUCAAACACAUAUAUUUAUAUUCCCUAAUUGUAAUAAAUAUUUGUCUAUACUACUUAAGUAAUAAAAAUUUUAAAAUAAAGAAUAAUAGGGUAUCUAAUCCUAGUUUUUAGCCUUACCUUCAAAGAAUAAAAUAAAGAGUAAUAAAAUAAAUAACAGCAAUUAAAUUUUACUUACAAUACACUGAUCUCAUUUACUCUAUUAUAUUUAAUCUAUUACUUUAUUUUAUACUAUAUACAUAUAAAUUUAAAGUAUUAGUAUAACCGCAGCUGCUGGCACCAAUUUAACCACUUUUAACAAUAUAACAUUAACUAUAUCAAACUUUCAUUCAUUGUAUAAAUAUAAGUACUGCGUAACUUAUAAGCAUUAUAUUAAUAUACUACUAAUAACGAUAAACACUAUUUAAUAUAUAUUAAACACAUUAAAUAAAAUUUAAAUAAGUAAAGCAAUAUACUUUUAAACCUAACAUAUACUAAUCUAAUAAUAACUUAUAUAAUAACCAAAACCAAAUCAAUAGUAUAAGAAAUGAUUUAUCAUAUAGGAUUUCGGCUCCUACAUAGGUGUAUACACCCUUGUAUUUUAAAUUAUAAUAAACAGAACACAAAAAAUAAUUAUAUUACAAUUAAAUAAUAAAACAAGUCAAUGCUCUAACACAAAAAAUAUAAUUUUAUUUAUAUUAAACAAACCUUGGCCUCCAAAAAUCUCAAAUCACCCUAUAUCUACUACUUUUAAAUUUAUAUUAGUCACAUUUUUAAACCCUGUUAAAAAAGGAUAACAUAAAAACCUAGAUAAAAAUCACAUUCUUCUAUUAACAUAAUUUAGCACCCUAAAAUUAAUUUUAACUACUCUAAUACCCCAACACCCAAAAGAAAUUAAUAAUCUUAUAAUAAUCAAUAAUGGAAUAAUCAAUUUUAAAAUUAUUGGUAGAUAAAAAUUUAUAUUAAAUAAAUUAAAUAAUUUAUCAAAUAAAUAACCCCCUCACAAAGCACCCAAAACUAAUAAAGACAUAGGUAAAACUAUCUUUAUAUCAUCAUCUUUAACAUUAUUAUAACUCUCUACCCUAAUAUUACCCCAAAUAAUAAAUAAAGAAAACCGUAUUCUAUAUAAAACAGUUAAACAAACUCCUAAUAACCCUAAUAAUAUCAUAAAAAUAUUUCUAUUACCAAUCAAUAAACCUUCAAUAAUUAAAUCUUUUGAAUAAAACCCUGCCAAAAAAGGCAAACCACAUAAAGCUAUAUUGGAAAUAUUUAAAAAAACAGAAGUGACAGGUAGUAAUUUAGACACAUUAUUAAUUUGACGUAUAUCUUGUUUACCUCUAUAACAAUGAAUAAUAUUACCCCCACAUAUAAAUAAUAAAGCUUUAAAUAUAGCAUGUGUAUAUAAGUGAAAUAAAGUUAAUAAAGGUAAGCCUAACCUCAAGGAUAUUAUUAUUACUCCUAAUUGUCUUAAUGUAGAUAAAGCAAUAAUUUUCUUUAUGUCAUACUCAUAUAAAGCACAAAUACCUGAUAUAAUAGUUGUUAUGAUAGAAAUAUAAAUCAUAAAACUAUUAAAUCAAUAAUAACUAUUUAAAUAAUUAAAAAACCGAAUAAAUAAAAAAACACCUGCAGUAACUAAAGUUGAAGAAUGUACCAAAGCAGAAACCGGAGUUGGUGCAGCUAUAGCAGCCGGUAAUCAACUACUAAAAGGUAUUUGUGCCCUUUUUGUUAUACCCGCAAUUAUAAUAAAAAAAUUAACUAUUUCAAACCCAAUAAAAUCCCACAUACAUAAUACAUUUCAAUGGCCGAUUACAAUUAAAAUUGAAAUAGCCCCUAAAAUAAAACAAUCCCCAACACGAUUUAUUAAUACAGUUAAUAUUCCCGCAGCUAAAGACUUUCUAUUUUGGUAAUAAAUUACUAAACAAAAAGAUACUAAACCUAGCCCGUCUCACCCUAAUAAUAAAGAAACUAAUCUAGGAAUAAAAAUUAAAAAAUUUAUAGAUAAAACAAAUAAUAUAACUACUAAAAUAAAACGAUAUAAAUUAAUGUCCCCCCUUAUAUAUCUUAUAGUAAAAAUUAUAACACAACCAGAAAUAAAGCAAACUAAACCACUAAAACUACAUCUUAUUCAAUCAACUACAAAAUCAAAUUCAAUAACACCUCUUAUACACCUUAUUAUUUCCCACCUAAAAAACAACCCAAUAUUAUUUAAACAUAUAUAAAUAGUUAAAAUUCUUAUUAAAAAAAAUCAACCAAACAAUACUACACAAAAAAAAGACUCCACACCAAUAAAUAUUAACAUA